UGGGGGAGUUGUGGCAGCUUAUAUUGUAAGAACCAUCUCUUUCACUUUAAAUAUAGCAACAGGCUGGUUUCUUAGGGGAGUUGUGGCAGCUUAUAUUUGUAUCUUCACUUUGAGAUCCUUCCAUGAGCAUCAUCAAUUGAAGAGAAAAUGUUGUCAUCCAAAAAAAACACCGGGUUCUUCCCAAUGAAGCGAAAGAGGCCUCUUUUUUUUCGAUACUUCCGAAUUCCUCAUGUAUCGUACCAAAAUUCACAGGUUCAGAGGUUAUCUAAUGCUGAUCUGAGUACGAAUUAUUCGCUAACUUCCAUUUCUCGAACACAGUCUUUCCCAUCAUAUAUGCAUAACUUCAAUGGAUAACGAGACACCCAAAUGAACAAGCUUUUUGAAUGAUGACGACAAAAGAUUAUUUGCUGUCCUAAUAAUGAUUAUUUGUUUCCUAUUGAGUUCAUUGGUAAUAUUUAAUUACAGUU